rnacentral:snRNA from 1 species
ACUACUUCUUGGCCUUUUUGGCUAAGAUGAAGUAUAGUAUCUGUUCUUAUCAGUUUAAUAAUAUGGGAUUGUUUUUGCUCACUAUGAUUUUUAGGGAUAGUUAAU